rnacentral:rRNA from 1 species
AAUAGAUACCCGGGUAGUCCACGCCGUAAACGAUGUCGACUUGGAGGUUGUGCCCUUGAGGCGUGGCUUCCGGAGCUAACGCGUUAAGUCGACCGCCUGGGGAGUACGGCCGCAAGGUUAAAACUCAAAUGAAUUGACGGGGGCCCGCACAAGCGGUGGAGCAUGUGGUUUAAUUCGAUGCAACGCGAAGAACCUUACCUACUCUUGACAUCCAGAGAACUUAGCAGAGAUGCUUUGGUGCCUUCGGGAACUCUGAGACAGGUGCUGCAUGGCUGUCGUCAGCUCGUGUUGUGAAAUGUUGGGUUAAGUCCCGCAACGAGCGCAACCCUUAUCUUUUGUUGCCAGCGGUUAGGCCGGGAACUCAAAGGAGACUGCCAGUGAUAAACUGGAGGAAGGUGGGGAUGACGUCAAGUCAUCAUGGCCCUUACGAGUAGGGCUACACACGUGCUACAAUGGCAUAUACAAAGAGAAGCGACCUCGCGAGAGCAAGCGGACCUCAUAAAGUAUGUCGUAGUCCGGAUUGGAGU